rnacentral:rRNA from 1 species
AUUGAACGCUGGCGGCAGGCCUAACACAUGCAAGUCGAACGAGUGGCGAACGGGUGAGUAAUAUAUCGGAACGUACCGAGUAAUGGGGGAUAACCAAUUGAAAGAUUGGCUAAUACCGCAUAUUAUUCGAGCGGCCGAUAACUGAUUAGCUAGUUGGUGGGGUAAAGUGCUACCAAGGCGACGAUCAGUAGCGGGUCUGAGAGGACGAUCCGCCACACGAGAACUGAGACACGGCCCAGACUCCUACGUGAGGCAGCAGUGGGGAAGUUUGGACAAUGGGGGCAACCCUGAUCCAGCCAUGCCGCGGGUAUGAAGAAGGCCUUCGGGUUGUAAAGUACUUUUGGUAGGGAAGCGGUACCUAAAGAAUAAGCACCGGCUAACUACGUGCCAGCAGCCGCGGUAAUAC